UUAUUGUAUGUUCUUUGAGGUGCGUGAAUCGAGUUAAUUAAGUUAAAUUUACUUGAAUUCUCUUGAAAGAGAGGGAAGCCUUCAGGAAUGCAAACACAAGGAGUACAUGGUUGUAGUGUGCUCGUGUUGUAUGGUAUUGGUUAAGUCGAGCGAUGAGAAUUAUCCAUGUGUUUAGUUGUCGUCAUUAAAUUUAGAAUCUAAACGAAUUGCCGGUGAAACAUGGAGAAAGGUGAGGAUGGCGUCAAGUCAGCAAGCCUCUUUUACCCUGAGUGACAUGUGUUAUAAUGGUUGGACAAAGGAUCGGGGUCCUUUGAGGGUGAGCUAACCCCAACUACCCAUCCUUAAUUAGUUUUCAUAUCAUU
rnacentral:ncRNA from 1 species